rnacentral:lncRNA from 1 species
AUGACAAUACUCUUGCAGGACUACAUGUUUCAGCAUAGAUACGUAAAAAGAGAACUGGAGAUGUUCAUGUCUGACAGGCAUAUAGCACUUUAUGUGAGAAGGAAGAAGUGCAGAUAUGGGAGUAACAGUGGCAUUGAAAUGAUGGUUAUCAUCUCACUACAAGGACAAGGGAUGUUGAAGUUCUUGGUCUGUAUUUCCUUCAACAUCUCCAAGAAGCCAUUUUUGAAAAUAGACAUCAUUAUAAUUUGGUUAAUCAGAUAUUUCAAAUGGAUGCUGUACAUCAUAGUUGAGAUAGUUUAUUCAUCUAUUUGCUUAGAAUUCCUGGGAGAACACAGCCAAGUGAAUUUUCCUUGGUUAUGAAGUUCUACAGCUUCCUUGGGAAUCUCCCUGUUCUGCCAGUAGUUUCUACAGAAUAUUUCAUUUUCUCUAAGACCAAAGCAUUAAUUACCAUAAAGAAGCAAACUUAUCAUGACUGACAGUGGUAAUAAAGUGCUGCAGAAUAGCUCUUGAAAAAAGUAA